CCCGUGUCCUCGGGGCUGCUGGCCGGCCGGCUGAGGAGCGCAGGGGCCCGGCCGGUGGGGCGCACCGCUAGGGGGUUGCAGCGUCCCGGAGCGAGUCCCGCUGAGGGCAACAAAGGUGAAGGGAGCCGAGCAAGUCUUAACAAGGACAGGCUGGGGGAGCUGGGCCUGGAGAAGGGAUCUCGUCAGUGUCUGUAAGUGUGUUAAGGGAGAGUGCCGAGAGGGUGUUCCAGGCUCUCCUUGUGGCGCCCAGCAGUAGGACAAGAGGCUGAAACUGAUUCACAGGAAGAGCCCACUGAACACCAGGAGGAACUUCUUUACUGUGCGAGUAACCACGCACUGGAACAGGUUGCCCAGAGAGAGUGUGGAGUCUCCCUCACUGGAGAUUCCCUCACUGGAAUCACCUGUACGCAUUCCUGUGCCAUGGGCUCUGGGACCACCCUGCUUGAGCAGGGAGGUUGGACCAGAUGACCCACUGCGGUCCUUUCUGACCUGAACCACUCUGUGAUUCUGUGGCUUGGUGCUUGAGUCAAAGAAAUGCUGUUUAGGAAACAUUAAGAGAGGUUUUAAAUAAGUUAUUAAAAAUGUACAGCGAAAUCGUGUGAGAGAUCAGGAGACAAAACCCAUUAGGGACGAAGGCUGAGGAGGCAAUGACAGUGGUUAGUUGUCUGGCUGCAAGAAUUAUUACUGCAGCAGGGAGGCUGGUGUGGUGUGGAAAUUGCCCCCAUUUCAGCAGAGGGCAGGAGGGGAGGCUUGCACAAGGCAGCCGCAGCCUUGUCAGCAGGAAGUGAAACACACGCUGUCCUACCUCCGCUGCCUCCUGGCCUACAGAGAAAAGUGACCCAGCCUGGAGCUUGCAUAACUAUCUCCAGAAUUUAGCAAAUUUUAACUGCAAUGUAAAGAUUCAAGAAGGAUUUCAUUAGUAAAUUUUUAUGGAAGUGCAGGUAAGAAGAAAAGCACCUUUGAGAGUGGUAAGUGGCAUAAGGGGGGGAGAGAGAAAGAAAACUAAAAGCUAAACUCAUUAAACAGACAGCUGUCUUCUGUGAAGAAAUCCUGUUCUCUAAUUAUGAAUACUUUCCAAAAGCCAUUUGCACAAAAAAAAAAACACACCCAAAAAAGGCCUAAAACUGAAAUAGUUUUUCUUGCUCCAUUCCCUAGCAUCCAUGAGAAUGAGGCAGCACUGAAGAUCUGCCUCUCAGGCAGUUCAGCGUGGUUCCAGGCUGCUGUGAUCUCCUUCUCCUCUCUUUUCUCUCAGAUAGAGCCCAGCUCUCUGGUAGCAUUAGCUCUGCAGCAGGGCAGGCAGCUGCCUGAAGGUGCUGCCCUGGCUGAAAGCUGGCACACUAUUCUGAUUGUUUUGUGCAGGUUUGCAGCUGAACCUGUCACCUGACUUGCUAGGCUCACUGCAUAUCUGCACAAACACCAGCAGCAGCUCCAGAAGGGGCAGAGGAACUGCAGAAAAAGAACUAUUAAAAGGGACUGAGUAAAUGCUAUUGUCCUCUACAGUUUUCUACUGCAAUAUAAUGGAUUAUUGUCAAUUCUUUGUCGUUUAUUUUAGCCUUCAGUGGAUUCCUGAAAGUUCUAAAUCUGAUUACCCGAGAAUCCCUGUUGUCUGCUUUUAAGACUCCAGCCUGUAUAAAGAGAAGCUUGAUGACACCAACUCAAAGGCUCAAAAAGACAAAACAAAAGCAGUUGACAAAAAGAAUACCAAGUUUGUUAAUUUCUGGGGUUAUGUUUCUUAAACUUUGCUGCUCUGCUGGCAGGACUAGCAUCACUCACUUUCCACAGAGCAGUGCAAAAAGAAGAGACUUGGUGGAAAUCCUGUCUCUGCUUACCAACUUGAAUUAAAAAUGUAUCAGCCAGGAAAUUCACUGCAGACAGCAGAGCAGGCAGACAUUCUGUAGCUGCUGAUCCUAUUAGCUACCCAGGUUUCUGCAAAUAGGGCUUUAUCCCUGAAAUUUUCUUUGUGUAGAUUUAAGUACCUGAAUACCACUGAAGACAAUGUGACAUCUCACCUUGUAACAUUAAGAAUACAUAUAAAUAUUGCAGUGUCAGGGCCUGGUAGUGCAGAAACAGUUAAUUUCAGUUACCUGGUAAGAGCUAACUCAAAGUUGUUUACUGACAAAAGAAUGAAGAAGUUUAGAGUGGCAUUCUUCACUCUUUGUACUGCUAUGAAUGCUUAGGCCUCUGUAUUUGCACAAGACUUCAGAGCAGUUUCUUUGCAUACAGAGGAAAGUAUGUGAACAGCUAUCUAGGAAGAAGGAAAGAAAUUGACAUACCUGGGGGCAAAAUCCCAGUUAGAAAGGAAAAGGAACAGACCAGAAAUUCUUCUUUCAUCUGCUGUGCUAAUACAUAAACAUCAACCUAACAAUGAACCAGUGUUGCAACACAGCAAGGGUGCUGCAGAAAUACUGAAAUACACAAUGAGAAGUUGAGCAUGAUGGCUGUUAGUUAUAUGGAGUAAAUCCCAGUACACCUGAAAGUCUUGCUGCAAUUUCCAAACCACUGUGGAUGGUUUUCAGUAGGCACAGUGUCAUGAAUAAGUGAUGGAUACACGGGUCCUCCAGGAUUCUUCUUUUCCUCUUGCCAGGUGUCAAGUGUCGCAUCAUUUUUUGUUCUUCUGACUCAGAGUCUUGCUUCAUGUGGCCACCAUCAGCUGUGCAGUAAUUGGAACAAAAAAAUUUUCAGCAUCCAGAGCUGUUUUUACAUUUGAUCGUGGGAAAUUCCUUAUCCUGUGAGGUCUGGAGAGUUUCUUUCUAUCUGUCUGUAAGCUACAUUAUGUUGAAGUAAUUACUUUUAUACUUCAUGGAAACUUCAUAAGGCUCUUCCGUGGAGCUGUGCAGUUUUUCAAAAAGCACAGAUAUGCCACUCACUGGGUAGUUUAUUUUUCUUUCCUGUUCUCUUGCUUGCUGUUCUAUACUUCAGUCUUCUAAUGUUACUCCCAUUGCCAUUACUUCUAAAUGCUCCUUAUUCUUUUUGCUGCUUGUUUCUGAUGCUUCCUACUUCUUUCUGUUCUACGUCUACUCUCCUUAGCAUUUUUAAAGGCAAGCUCUCGAUAAGAGCUACCUUCUGAUUUGUUCUGAUCAGUUACCCUGCUUUAUAACAAAGAAAACCAGUCCCUGAUGACCUUGUUUUGCAGACUUAGGUUUAGGCUUCCCAAAGCAGUUAGGGAGAUAAUGAAUGACAUUUCCUAAUCUAGAUGGUACUGUUCAAUGCUACCUUAAAAGAACAUCAGCUUUGUCUGAGCACUUUAUGUGAAAUCUUUGUCUUGUUGGGGACGUCCUUACGUGCUGUACUCAGUGUUUGCACUGAAAAGGGCCCUGUUUUGUGCUGUGGCUUAGGAGUUAGUGUUGAUAAUAUAGAGGUGUUUUGGUUAUUGCUGAGCAGGGCUCACACAGCAUCAAGGUCUUUUCUGCCUCUCACCCCCCCCCCACCACCACCACUGAGAGGGCUGGAGGUGCACAGGGUGUUGGGAGGGGACACAGGCAGGACAGCCAAGCCCAAGUGACCACAGGGAUAUCCCACACCACACAGCACCGUGCUUACAUGUGGAGCUGCGGGAAGAAGGAGGAAGAGGGGAUGUUUGGGGUGACAGUGUGUGUCUUCCCUAGUCACUGUUCCACAUGAUGAAGCCGAGCUUUCCUGGGGAUGGUUGAACACCUGCCUGCCUGUGGGAGCAGUGAAUGAAUGCCUUGUUCACUUUGCUUGUGGCGUGCCUUAUGCUUUCGCUAUUUAAUUGUCUUUAUCUCAGCCUGCAAGUUUUCUCACUUUUACCCUUCCAGUUCUCUCCUGAAAGAGAGAGCAAGUGGCUCAUGGAGGUUGGUUGCCAGCUGGGUCUAAACCACAGCACUAACCUAGAGCAAUGCCUGAAGCUGGAAACUGCUGUGGAUCCUGGGCUGGGAGAAGUGCAAGCUGGUACAAGAUGUGUAAAGACCACCUUUUUACAAUGGCAAAAACCUGCAGAUGUCUCAUGCGGAGCUGAAGUGAAAAAAUGAAUCAUCUGGAAGUCUUACUGCUUCAUCGUGUUUUAUUUUUAUUGUAAGACAAUAGGCAACAUUUCUUUUUCUCUUUCAGUAGUUAUUUCACCUAAUUCAGUAGUAUUAUGUAAGAAAAUAUGUUGUCAUCUGUUCCUUCUUGAUUGUUACAAGGUAGCUGAUAAAUUUCUGGUUUGCUGUAUUUUUCCUGGUUCUUUGUAAUGGGAAAUUUCAAAGAAAAACAAAUUCUUCUUUCCCAUGUAGCUGCAUUUCCCAUUUCAGCAUCACACUUAAAAAAUAACAAACUUCAUACACAGCAGAGAAAUUUAAAAAAAUUGUUUCAUUUAAAGCAUCAAGGCUCAACCUACAUUUUCUUUCUUCCUAGUCCUCUCAGAGGUAAAGAACUUUGUGAAGGACUAAAAUAUGUGGUAUACUUUAUUCAGGUGAUUUUUCUAUCACCCUGCCUUGCUUGAAUUUAUUGAUAUAUUCUGAUGAUACAUUUAUAUAUUCUGUCCAUGCAUAUAUAUAUUUGUUUUUAUAGCCACAUUCAUAAAUAGGUUUAGGCCAGUAUUAAACUUCUUCUAGGCAUGCAUUUUAUUUCCAUUACAUUUGUCUGUAAAACAUUUUAAGAUAUCUGAAGUAGAAGAAAGAAGUGUACAUAUUAAUUUACUUAGAAGAAAAGUAACAAUCUGGGUUUUUUUAAUAAUAGAUACCGCAUUGCCCUAGAUGUUUUAUAUUCACAAGUUGCUGAAGGAGAUAGGGUAGAGAAAAAUGAGUAUCAGUGUACGCAUGAAGGCCCAGGUAAGCCAUUACAGUAUUGAAUAAAUGGUUCGAUUAGAGAUUCACAUUAGAUCAUAAAAACCGGUUGCACAUGUGGAUCACAAGACAAGAAGGAGAUCUCCAUACUGCACAGUUUCGGAUCUGUAAUAUUGCCAUCUGAAUCUGUGCAGUAAUCCAGAUUUUCCUUGCCUUUUUCAGUCAGAGCCAGAGUAAAAUGAACAGAAAGUAUACAAAUAUGAUAGUGAAUGUGCUAAGAAAUAUGCAUCAGAUAGACAUGGAAUGACAACUGUCUUGAAGAGUUUUCUGGCAUUUUUUCAUGUACUGAUAUGACAUUUAAAGAUAUGAUAGAUGUUACAGUGGGGAAGAAAAUCUUUCGGUUCACCCUUACUGAAGUGAACACCGUAGUGAAAAAAUUGCUAGUAAUAAAUACUGAUAUUAUCAGACAGUUAUUGCCUUAGCAGCUGAAAUAAAGUAAUAUUAGGAAAUGCCAUAUGUGUUCUCAUCCAAAAUAGGAUAGAAGGUUUGUCCCACACAAGAGAGAAAAUAGUUUUUUCUGUAUAUUAUUUGUCUUAACUUUUACCUUCUCAAUGUUCUAACGUGUGCUUGAGCCUCAGAGUCUGCUCUCUGAAGCAGGUGUUGGAGCUUUCUCAUGAGCUAGCAGUAAUUUGUCUUUGAAGCCUUCAAUAAAACUACUCGGAGGGA